CCCCCUGGGAUAUUUCCCCUUCCCUUCAGGGGACACCUCCCCCUCAUGGAUACCCCCAUGAAUAUCCCCGUUCCCCUCAGGGAUCCCCCCCUGGAACUGGGAUAUUUUCCCUUCCCUUAGGGGUCCCCCACAGGAACAGACACCCCAGGAUACCCCCUCUUUCCCUGUACCUCAUGAGACACCCAUCCUUUGAUGGACGGGCUUCCCCCCACUGUUGGGUGCCAUCUCUGAGGUACAGAAAAAGGGACACGUGCGAUGAUGCUGAGCCCAUAAAACUGGCCUGCUGGGAGUGCGCAUCCUGACAGAUUUCCCAGGAGAGCCACUUCAAAAAAGGGAUGAUCCUGGUCAAACCUGGAUAGAUAGCAACCCUACGCUCCUCACUCCCACAGUCCACUGCACUCUGCUACCCUCCUUCAGCCCCCAUGGGAGUGCGCUUGCCUCCCACCCAACUGGAGCCUGCCUGGGGUGGCACUCCCCCUGUACUACGAGCCUUCCCCUGCCUUGGGCUGUGCAACGUGACAGGUUGAUGGCAGGUUAACAGUAGCUUUUAAAACUGUCAGAUGUUUCUUGGUCUUUCUCUGGAGCCUCAGAAGUGUCAUCCAUUAGGGCGAGAAAUAGACGUCUUGGCAAGGGGCCAUUUCACUUGUGAGUAGCACGCACUCGUCUCUGUAAUAGCGCACACUGGCCACACGACUGCUUUGGGAAGAAUGCACUUGCAUGAAUAUUUUAUUUACUGCUGAAAUGAGUGAAUUCUAAUACUGAGGGACAGCCCAGAGACAAAUAGCAUCUCGGCCUGACCUGCCUUAUUCCUCUAUAGACAAAGCAGCAAGAUUACAGUUUUGUGGAAACCCAACUGCCUUUAACUUCCAGCCAGACAUCUGCUAGGGAAGGGAAGAAGGGACCCCACUUCAACACCUCCACUGGAAGGGCUGUGGAACGAGCCUCUCUUUCCCGCUCCGGAGUGAUGUGCCGUCUGUGCUAGGAAUGAUGGGGCUAUCGAGCGUUGUGCAAUGGAGACAUUUCUAUGCAACGAGUAUCAGCUAAUCAAUGGGAGCUCAUCCGGAUUCCAAACUCCCUUCAAUAGGAAUGCGGCUCGAUGCUCUGCAGAUUGCAAGUUGCCAAAGUCACAUCUUUAAUAACUGCAGUUUUAUCGAUUUAAUUUUAAAAGAAACCUUAAUAUCCUGUCUGCAUCCUGGAGUUGUAACGACAAAGACUCACUUGUUGUUUGGGAACGGGCUGGGCGAGUGAGUUUAUCCUGGAGAUAAGGGCCAGUGCCUAAUAACUCAUUCAUGGGUCGGAGUUCAGAAAAGCGUGGACACAGUGUAUUCAUUGCGUCAGGGAUUAGGUGAGCUGUUUGGCAGCCCACGCUAACUGGUGGACAUUGUUCCAGCACAGGAAGGCGACGUGCUUUCAUUUCAUGCUCUGUAUUAUCUGUAUUCCAGCUCUAGGCUCUGUGGGGGAUCCGGGGCAGGUUUGCUAUAGCUCUCCCAAGUGCUUCUUAGCCCUUCCUCCUGGGAGAUGGAGAGCUGGUUCCAAAUGAUUCGCUCUCCUACAAAGUUGCGGAGAGCUCUCCAGAGGCCACACGGUGGCAGCAUUUGCCCAAGAAGCAGCUAGGCAAGGAGAUUCUGGAACCCGCAGCGAGCAUCUGAUUGCAAUGCGUUGCUUUUCUCUUUUGGAAUACAAAGAAUUGCAGCACAGCUCCCCCAUCCAACUUUCUGUUCUAAGGACAGUUCUAGUAUAAGGCUGCCAUUCCCCCAGAGCUUCAUUGUAAACGGCUUUCAAGGACACUGGAACCUCCGUUCUCUGCUCCUGCCGUCAGCCUGUUCUCCCCAGGCAGAAAAGGGCUGGGGGCUUUCACUUGUAGUGCUUGCUCCUGAACCCAACAGCCUACGUUGUUAUUUAAGAUGAAUGGAUUCCUGGGGUGGAUGGUGCUGGAUUAAUAGCCCUGGAGUCGUCUCCUCGUUACCCAUGGAAUAGGUACAAACGUCUCCCGCGCCCAUGCACUGUUUUUGCACUGGGUGGAUCAGCUCAAGAUAGGAUCAGUUUGGGCCGCCUUGCAGAGGUUCCCAGCGAGCAGUAAGGGGUUUUGUCACAUAGCGCUAAAAGCGAGACUGAUGUCACUCCUUCAUUUCACAUGGCCCCCACAACAGACAGCAUUGUCUUCACUUGGGGCCCGUUCAAACCAGUGACCUAGACUGGAAAGUCUCCGCAUUCCAUGUGCCUUCAGUUCCCCUUCACAUUUUUUUCAGUAUUUGUUGUUGUUAAAAGCAUUGUGACAGUAUCACAACGUGAGAGCGAACAGAUGUCCAGCAGGGUGUGUUUAAGACGGUGCGUUUGUUCAAACAUGAGCAUGGGACAAUUAACAAUCCUGCCGAGCAAAGUGUCACUGGUACAUGUCCAUUACGUGAGCACAAGACACUAGUGAAAUGGCAUGUGAAUGAGCUGGUAUGGACCGUUAACCAAACAGGCACUAGGAGGUAGGUUGCAUACGGCAGUGUACCGCCCUGUCUGCUUGUCCUGUGUCAUCCUGGGUCCGUCUGCUGCUUUGUCAGAACUGCUGUCUCCGCAGCACCGGAGAGGAGAGGGCUUUCGUUCCUAAAACGUGGCGGGAAGGCAGUUCACUUCCACCUCCUUGUCCCUUGCUAAUGUCUAGAGCGGGGUGGGUUUCCCAGCUUUCUGGCGGGUCCCAGAAACGAGCUGUGUUAUCUGGGGCAUUGCACAAGCUGUUCCUCUCAGGGUUUCUUGCUGCUGAAUGAACGAUUGAACCUGAGCUUUGAUCAAGCCAAGGCAGCAACAAUUACUCAUCUUGCGAGCUCCGGGUGUGGGGAGGGAGGGAAGCCAGGCUCUGGGGAGAGCGACCACAUCUGUCCAGCUGUUGGUGACACGCUUGCCUGGUCCGACAGUGUGAUGACAGUCUCACAUUUGCACAGGCUGCCUUCAGUCUAUUCAAGUUGCGCCAUCGCAAAGCAGGUGCGGAUGCUACAGGGGAUCAAUGUCAGGAGCCAAAAUCCAGGAGCUCCCACAUCAGCUGUAGCAGUGGAAGGUGUUAGUAUCCUUAGGGCUAUUCCGCAAGGCAGCCUGGCCUCUUACAAAGAGGCAUCGGAACAUUUUGAUUCUCAAGCAGUCUCCCUGGCUGACCAUCCCUUGACGUAUCACACCGGGUAAGCUGCAGGCGUAGCGAGAUCCAGCCUGGGGUGUUCUGCAGUGCAGGCCAGGGCUGCCCUUAUCUUGAACCAAGCAAUGCCGGGAUGCCUAAUUGAAUGUAGUCUGUAGCAUUUAUAGGCUGCCAGUCGUAGUAUCUAGUUGGCCUGUCCUACCCGCAGUGCGCCAUCCAGAACCAAGCUUCCAGGCCCCAUUGUGCGAGGGGCAUUCGUCACACUGGGCUGCCCUUUGGUUUUGAAGAGGACGGUGCUCCCUUUUUAUGGAAGUUAGGUGUGGGCCUCAGCAUAGGCUGCUGGUGAAAAUAUUCGCUGGGGGGCUGAGCCCGUCCCAUGCUCACCCCACAGCGUCCGCUCCUGACCUGUGGGCCUGGGUCCUGCUCCGGCCUCUUGCCACUCAGAUUCGGAGGAGCCCGCCACAGUGGCACUUGGCGGGCAUGUCUGUGUGCAGGUGGGGCCCUCCCCCUGCUACACCCCACUCCCUUCCUGGCCCUGGCGGACAUGCGCGUUGCCUGCUGAGCUGGGCAGCAGGGUGGCUCAGAAAACAGACAGGGGAGGCUGAGCGCUCUGUAGCCCGAGCCACCCACUGCCUGCCUAUGGGCCGUGGGCUCCUGGCACCUGUCCAGUACGGUCUCAUUUGGGGAUAACAUGGAUGUUCUGCGAUGGCAGUAGCUGCAUGUCUUGGUGUUCCAAUGGCUAAGAGGACUUUGCUCAUUUGGGCCAGGUGGAUACUAGACCGUUUAGUUCUGCUGCUUUCCAUGGCAUAGGAAAGAAGGUUGCAUGCUGUUCUAGAAUAUUCUAUCCCAGCUGAGCUCUGCCAGGCUGUCGCUCAAGAUCAUAAGCACCAACCUCAGGGCAAACUGGUAAGGCAGGGCACAAACCCUCCAUUGCCUGGGAGCUCUGUACUUAGAUUUCACCAGCAAAUGAUCAAGCGUAAACUUCCCAGGCACCAUAACAGCCUGAAUAUGGAGUCACAGGCCGUCCCCUCGGGUCCUCUGCUCUGUGACGCCACCUCCCUUCAUGAUGGACGGGCCCUUCUACCAAGUAUCACAAUGAUAUUCCGGUUGCUCCCAGGCCUCAAAGACCAGUCACUUGCCCAAGGUCUGUUGCACUUUAGAGCUCCCGCCAAAGACAACACUUGGAGCCAAUCCUAGAAUAAACUAUUGAACGAUUUGUUAUGUAAGAAAAGGAAACGAGAGUUCUUGACGAGGUUAAAGCAGGUAAGCAUAGAUGCACACAAACGCGUUCCAAUGUUAAGCUUCAAAAAGUAAUAGAAGCGUCCAUAAUAAGCAAGCUGUGUGUGUCCUUUAGGGCUAGUCCAGGCUAAGCAUGGGAGAGCUGUUGCUUAUGUCUAGUAAUCCUUGCUCCAGUUCCUCCUUGUUAGGGGCUUUUGUCCUUUCCCUCCUUCUGCUGCGAGUUGCAAACUCAGCUGAUGGAGGAAUUCACUUGCAGGUCUCAUCUUCACAGGGGAAGAGGAAAGGUAAACAUCAGUCUUUGGUCCCUUUUAAUGUUCCACUCUGGUCCGUCUGGCAUUGAUAGGCCUUCUUGGUCAGGCAGGACAAUGAGACCCGCUGGAGACCAGCACGUCACGCUGGUUAUUGUCUCUCUCCUGUCUGGUGAUUUACACAGUUGCAAAGGCUGAUGAUGCAAAUGUUCAAAUCUUACCAUACAGUGUGGGCUACAGAUGUUAUACGUGAGAUUAAUGCAGGCAGCAGCUCACAAGCGUUCAAUAAAGUCUAA